UACGUAGGGUGCGAGCGUUGUCCGGAAUUAUUGGGCGUAAAGGGCUCGUAGGCGGUUUGUCGCGUCGGGGAGUGAAAACCUUGGGCUUAACUCAGGGCUUGCUUUCGAUACGGGCAGACUAGAGGUAUGCAGGGGAGAACGGAAUUCCUGGUGUAGCGGUGAAAUGCGCAGAUAUCAGGAGGAACACCGGUGGCGAAGGCGGUUCUCUGGGCAUGAUCUGACGCUGAGGAGCGAAAGUGUGGGGAGCGAACAGG
rnacentral:rRNA from 1 species